CUACGGGACGCACCAGGUAGGAAUCUUUUGCAAUGCGCGCAAGCGUGACAAAGCGAGCCAGAGUGCUUUUCAACUGAAAAGCUUUUGCCAAAUCUAAAAAUUUUGGCGAAUAAGGACUGGGUAAGACUAGUGCCAGCCGCCGCGGUAAUACUAGCGGUCCAAGUCGCAGCCAUUAUUAUUGGGUCUAAAACAUCCGUAGCUUGCUUAAUAAGUUCCUUGUGAAAUCUUAUCUCUUAAGGGUAAGGCGUGCGAGGAGUACUGUUGAGCUAGAGACUGGAAGACGUAAAAAGUAUGUUCAAAGUAACGGUAAAAUGUGUUAAUCUUGAGCAGACUCACAACAGCGAAGGCAUUUUACGAGGACAGUUCUGACAGUAAAGGAUGAAGGCUAGGGGCGCAAAACGGAUUAGAUACCCUUGUAGUC
rnacentral:rRNA from 1 species